GGUAGUGGCCAUAGGGCUGCGCCCAGAUCUCUGGGUGAGGAAGCUCCAUCCACCAGUAAACAGCUUUAUGCUUGGCGAGAGCCAAGGUAGCAUCUAAAGAGACGAGAUGGCGGCAUGUUAUAAUGAUGUCCAACUGAAGAUGCAUGCCGACUUGUGAAACGAGAUGCCCUGUGUGGUGCAAGGCUAAUUUGCCGCUUAGACGAAUGCCCUAAUGACCAAUACAAGCAUUGCUUGUAAAAAGGUCAACAGAAGGUGGACUAAGGCCACUGCC
rnacentral:RNase_P_RNA from 1 species